UACGUAGGGGGCAAGCGUUGUCCGGAAUUACUGGGCGUAAAGAGCGUGUAGGCGGGUGAUUAAGUCAGAUGUGAAAACCCAGGGCUCAACCGUGGGAGUGCAUCUGAAACUGGUUACCUUGAGGACAGGAGAGGAAAGUGGAAUUCCUAGUGUAGCGGUGAAAUGCGUAGAUAUUAGGAGGAACACCAGUGGCGAAGGCGGCUUUCUGGCCUGUAACUGACGCUGAGACGCGAAAGCGUGGGGAGCAAACAGG
rnacentral:rRNA from 1 species